CUCAGGGCGGACGAAAACUCUGGCGUCCCACGCCCGCACAAGGAAAACAACCGCGUCUUCGAUUCCGCUCGCAACUCCCUAAUUUUUGGGACGAUUGCAACUGAAUUGUGCCUCCCCGAUCCUUCUUUCUCUCCGUAGAUCCAGAAAAACGGCGCCGCUGCUCCUCCCUUCUCCUCUUCUGUGCACUUCCCCUUGAUCCCCCCGAGUCGACCCUGCCUCCGGUGGUGCCCGCGCUCCUGCAAGCCGCCGCCGACCUGCUCAACCGGUCAACCGCACCCAGCGCCCUCCUUCGUUUUCUCCCCCUCUCCUCACUAAUCUCGCUCCGUUACCAAACUACAGGAUGCCAUGGCCACCGGAGGCAGCGGGCACGACCGCGAUGGCCCCGAGCUCGGCAAAGUGAAAGCCAUUGGAGGCGCUGGUGAGGCCGAGGUCGGUGAACCUGGCAGCGGCGGUCGAGCGCGGUGAGCGCGGGGCAGGCCUGGAGCAGCGGCUCGAGAUCCGUGCCACCGAGGAGGUUGACACGGUGGAACGUGGCCCGCUAGCAGGGCGCGAGGCUGGCGACCGUCGAGGGGUCAUGGCAGUAGACGGCGAAGUCAGAGUGUCAGACACGAUGGGGAGGCACGCGGCGAGGCGCGCGGCAAGGAUGCUCGGCAAUCUCCUCAGCGAGAGGUCAUUGGAGGAGGAGGAGGCAAGUGGCCCCGCAGCGUGCGAGGCCGAGGAGAGCAGCGGGUGACCCAACAGCGAGGCCAACGAGAGGUCAAGCCGCUCAACCGCUGGGAAGCAGAAGUCCGUGGAGCGGCAGGAAGUAGGGCGUCCUCGGGUCUCCGCACAGUGCCAUCGCGCCCCGCAUCGCUGGCUCGGCCGCCAGCAGCCUGGGGCAUGCCCGCGAGGCCCCAUGCCGCGAAGGACGCCCAGGAUGAUCCACACAAAGUCACAAACUGAGAAACGGAGUGGACAACCAUGAGGCCACGUGACUGCGAAGGUGACGAGAAUGGUAUCGCAGCAUGUGUAGAAUGGAUAAAAGGAUACUCAUGACAUGGAUGAGGAGGCUAAGCAGCAAUUUUGCAUCCCGUGCAGAAUUACAGAACAUAAGAAAAUGGAUGGCUGCGGGGAGCGUGAACCGAGGUGAUCUAUGGCUGCUAUAUCUUGUCGUGUAGAAAUUGGGAACAACUCAUCGUCUGUGGUAGCAGUUCGGACUUGAUAUGCUUCUGUACUGUUUAACUUCCAUUCCCAAAAUAUUUGGUAGAUGGCCAUUGUAUUGACCAUGUUUGUCAGCGUAAUGUGUAUAAGACAUUGGUGAAGUCAAUAUGAUCUAUGCCCAUACUGUGAGUUAACUUGUACCCUUGCCUUGCUUGCCGAGUUUAAUUAUGUUAGUAAUUCUGCAUUUCAUGUUAUGCAUUGUUGAUGCAAUCUACUCUUCAUGACUAUUCAAUGGACACUUCUUUGCAAACUAAACAUUAUUGUUUGAUUCUGUAGUGUUUUUUUUUUCAGGAACUACUUGUGGUAGUACUAUGGUAAUUAAGUUAAUGCGAAAUCCUCCAAUCUUGUUGUCUAGGCAAAUAUAUUUUUUGUUAACAGUGUCUUGCCCAUGUUGUAUAUACAAUAUAUACAGUUCCAUUAAAGUUGCUUCUAUGUUUUUUGUUGUAAAAAUACAUUGGCUCAUGGUUAUUGAAUAAAAUCAUGUUGACUAUUGUUGAUCAAGGUGAAUAUGUAGAUGAAGAUGUCGUGAUAUCGAGGUACAUAAAAAUGGGAUCGGAGAACACAAUAAGAGUUUGUGUUGAUGCUUUCAUGAAUUGUAUUAUGGUGCGCGCAUUCUGUCCAACAAGAUUUAAUUGUAAAUCUGUGUUCAUUACUUCAGCGGAGUUAUUUUCUUAGUGGACAAUCUGACACUAGCUCAGGCAGCGGCGUCAAGGAACCUUCUUCAAGUCCCUGGGCACUGGCAAAUUAGAAGCCACCUAGCAAACUUUUUUGGUGCAACAGCGAACAUUCAAGCUCAGGUUUUUCAUAUUCCUAGGAAACUUAAUGUAAAAGCUCACAAUUGUGCAGCUUUUUCCUACAAAGAGGAUCAUCCCGUGAGCAAUAAAUUUGUUUGUUGUAAAGUAGAACAUGCAGGAGGUCACUGUCCUACGCUUACAAAGCUAGGUAACUUAUGUAUUAAGGACUGCCAAAUCCUUUCUGUAAUCUG